AUUAACAGAAAUAAUAUUGCAUAUAAAAUAAAAUAUAACAUGUUCUUGGUGUAUGAUGUAAGUUGACAAUACAUGCCACUGGUGGAAAAACGGAGAUCGUGAAGGUAUGUGAUUCAGGAUUAUGGACUGUACAACGCUAUAAAGUCAAGGUCAAGGUACGUGGUGGCUGUGACGACUCUAAUACUGCUCCCCUACUCCUUAAGAAUUCAGGAAUGUUCACGUAA